rnacentral:rRNA from 1 species
CUCGUGAAUUCAUCUCCGGGGGUAGAGCACUGUUUCGGCAAGGGGGUCAUCCCGACUUACCAACCCGAUGCAAACUGCGAAUACCGGAGAAUGUUAUCACGGGAGACACACGGCGGGUGCUAACGUCCGUCGUGAAGAGGGAAACAACCCAGACCGCCAGCUAAGGUCCCAAAGUCAUGGUUAAGUGGGAAACGAUGUGGGAAGGCCCAGACAGCCAGGAUGUUGGCUUAGAAGCAGCCAUCAUUUAAAGAAAGCGUAAUAGCUCACUGGUCGAGUCGGCCUGCGCGGAAGAUGUAACGGGGCUAAACCAUGCAC